UGCAAGUCGAGCGGAGAUGAGGUGCUUGCACCUUAUCUUAGCGGCGGACGGGUGAGUAAUGCUUAGGAAUCUGCCUAUUAGUGGGGGACAACAUUCCGAAAGGAAUGCUAAUACCGCAUACGCCCUACGGGGGAAAGCAGGGGAUCUUCGGACCUUGCGCUAAUAGAUGAGCCUAAGUCGGAUUAGCUAGUUGGUGGGGUAAAGGCCUACCAAGGCGACGAUCUGUAGCGGGUCUGAGAGGAUGAUCCGCCACACUGGGACUGAGACACGGCCCAGACUCCUACGGGAGGCAGCAGUGGGGAAUAUUGGACAAUGGGCGGAAGCCUGAUCCAGCCAUGCCGCGUGUGUGAAGAAGGCCUUUUGGUUGUAAAGCACUUUAAGCGAGGAGGAGGCUACUUAGAUUAAUACUCUAGGAUGGUGGACGUUACUCGCAGAAUAAGCACCGGCUAACUCUGUGCCAGCAGCCGCGGUAAUACAGAGGGUGCGAGCGUUAAUCGGAUUUACUGGGCGUAAAGCGUGCGUAGGCGGCUGAUUAAGUCGGAUGUGAAAUCCCUGAGCUUAACUUAGGAAUUGCAUUCGAUACUGGUCAGCUAGAGUAUGGGAGAGGAUGGUAGAAUUCCAGGUGUAGCGGUGAAAUGCGUAGAGAUCUGGAGGAAUACCGAUGGCGAAGCAGCCAUCUGGCCUAAUACUGACGCUGAGGUACGAAAGCAUGGGGAGCAAACAGGAUUAGAUACCCUGGUAGUCCAUGCCGUAAACGAUGUCUACUAGCCGUUGGGGCCU
rnacentral:rRNA from 1 species